UGGUGGAGUGAUUUGUCUGGUUAAUUCCAUUAACGAACGAGACCCCUGCCUGCUAAAUAGCCCAGAGAGUGAGUUUUCACUGACUGUUGGCUUCUUAGAGGGACGUGCAUUCUAUUAGAUGCAGGAAGAUAGGGGCAAUAACA
rnacentral:rRNA from 1 species